AACGCUAGCUACAGGCUUAACACAUGCAAGUCGAGGGGCAGCAUGGAACUUAGCUUGCUAAGUUCUGAUGGCGACCGGCGCACGGGUGAGUAACGCGUAUCCAACCUGCCCACCACUUGGGGAUAACCUUGCGAAAGUAAGACUAAUACCCAAUGAUAUCUCUAGAAGACAUCUGAAAGAGAUUAAAGAUUUAUCGGUGAUGGAUGGGGAUGCGUCUGAUUAGCUUGUUGGCGGGGUAACGGCCCACCAAGGCGACGAUCAGUAGGGGUUCUGAGAGGAAGGUCCCCCACAUUGGAACUGAGACACGGUCCAAACUCCUACGGGAGGCAGCAGUGAGGAAUAUUGGUCAAUGGGCGAGAGCCUGAACCAGCCAAGUAGCGUGCAGGAUGACGGCCCUAUGGGUUGUAAACUGCUUUUAUACAGGAAUAAAGUUAGCCACGUGUGGCUAUUUGUAGGUACUGUAUGAAUAAGGACCGGCUAAUUCCGUGCCAGCAGCCGCGGUAAUACGGAAGGUCCAGGCGUUAUCCGGAUUUAUUGGGUUUAAAGGGAGCGUAGGCCGUCUGUUAAGCGUGUUGUGAAAUGUAGAUGCUCAACAUCUGAAUUGCAGCGCGAACUGGCAGACUUGAGUGUGCGCAACGUAGGCGGAAUUCGUGGUGUAGCGGUGAAAUGCUUAGAUAUCACGAAGAACUCCGAUUG
rnacentral:rRNA from 1 species